CGUAAUGCUUCUGUAAAGGGUACCUGCGGAAGGAUCAUUACCGAGUGCAGGUCUGCCCCCGGGCAGGCCUAACCUCCCACCCGUGAAUACCUGACCAACGUUGCUUCGGCGGUGCGCCCCCCCCGGGGGUAGCCGCCGGAGACCACACCGAACCUCCUGUCUUUAGUGUUGUCUGAGCUUGAUAGCAAACCUAUUAAAACUUUCAACAAUGGAUCUCUUGGUUCCGGCAUCGAUGAAGAACGCAGCGAACUGCGAUAAGUAAUGUGAAUUGCAGAAUUCAGUGAAUCAUCGAGUCUUUGAACGCACAUUGCGCCCCCUGGCAUUCCGGGGGGCAUGCCUGUCCGAGCGUCAUUGCUGCCCUUCAAGCCCGGCUUGUGUGUUGGGUCGUCGUCCCCCCCGGGGGACGGGCCCGAAAGGCAGCGGCGGCACCGCGUCCGGUCCUCGAGCGUAUGGGGCUUUGUCACCCGCUCGAUUAGGGCCGGCCGGGCGCCAGCCGGCGUCUCCAACCUUCUAUUUUACCAGGUUGACCUCGGAUCAGGUAGGGAUACCCGCUGAACUUAAGCAUAUCAUAAGCGGGAGGAAACAUUA
rnacentral:rRNA from 1 species